AGUUGUAGCUCUCAUGAUGGUUUUCCAUAAUAACAAUGAUGAUGACAUGUAUGUUCGUCCCCGUUGGAGGAGCCCGUGACUUCAGUUUUUCAUUUGCAUUUCUACACUGUAGCUGCUGAGCACAGGAUGAGAAAGCCUUGAGUCUCCAAAGUCUCUGUACCUCCUUGUCAGUAAAGGAAGGGCUCAGCGCAGCCUGGGUGCCCAGGGAUCCUCUGCCUGAGUGCAGGGAGAGCAGCGAGCGCCCCCCCGGGGUCAUGGACCACACCAAGGGGGGCCUCGUCAUCUUCAGCGCCAACUCACACCCCGCCAGCAGGGAGCUGUGCAAGAGGAUCUCAGAGCGGUUAGGGGUGGAGCUCGGUAAGGUGCAGGUGUACCAGGAAGCUAACAGAGGUACGUGCUGGAUAACAUUUACUCAAAUGACUGCACGUGAUUUAUGAUGAGAUUUGUUUUCAAGGGUUCUGUUCUGCCUUUUGGCUUUUCUCUUUCCUUUAGAUUCAAAGGUUUUAAUGUCAUGUGCACAGAAGCUACCGUGUAGAAAUGGCAUUGAAAAUGUUAAGGUCCCGAGCUCCUCCAACAAUGCAACAUAGUUAUAUAAGUCAUAAACAAUAAAACUAAUUAAAAGUAAAUUAAAACGUAACGUAUAUAACGUAUAUACACGUAAGUAGAAUAUGAUAUAUACAAGAACAGAAUGUAAGAUUACAUUUAAUACGGUUUA